UCUACAGCAGCACUGUGGGAUAGACAGGCAGCAUGCUGGAGCCUCUGCCACUUCAGCCGGACCUAACCUGCUCAAACUCGUCAACAUACGUUCAAGGCAGCAUCUAGCCCAUAACAUUCAGUACAUAGUAAGUACUCAAUAAAAGGGGGUUCAAGAACUGCAGUGUCAAAUCCACAUUCGAGAAAAGGCAGAGGAUGUAUCACAUUCUGGAAACAGCAUUUUUGGAGACAGGGUCUGUGCUGGCUAGUUUCAGGUCAACUUGACACAGGUUAGAGUCAUCAGAGAAGAGAGAGCCUCACUUGAGACAAUGCCUCCAUAUGAUCAGACUGUGGGCAAGCCUGUAGGCUGUUUUCUUAAUCAGUGAUUGAUGGGGUGGGGAGGAGUCUGUGAUAGCUGGUGCCAUCCCUGGGCUGGUCGUUCUGGAUUCUAGAAGGCAGGCUGAGCAAUGAGCAAGCCAUGAGGACCAGGCCAGUAGCAUGCGUCUAAGGCUCCUUCAUCAAGCCCUGCCUCCCAGUUCCUGCCCUGACUUCCUUCAGGAUGGACUACACCAGAGACGUUUCCAUAUCAAAGCCCAGAGACAGCCUACCCAUUCAGGAGCCCAUCUUAGCCACCCUGGAACAGAGGGCAAUGCUCCCGAGAGGACACCUGGAGAUGCUGGGAGCGCCUGGUGCUAUGCUAUGCAGCCUCAUGGCCCCAGCACAGUGCCCAGGCAACACAGAAAGUUCACAGCUAACUGCCUGAUCUCAUGAUCCUCGACCAAACAGCACUUUCAAAAGAACUUCCUGUCUAGCUGUGCACUUGCGUGAGUGUUUCCUUGGCUCAAUCAGCUGCCAACUCGAAUCCAUUCGGCGAAGAGCUGGCAAGCACUCAAUACAGCCCCGUCCCCUCUCCACCCUGGGCCUGACAUCCGGAAGUGACUUAGGAAGCACUCUAAUGGUUACCAAAUUUUUGGAAACUGACUUAGCUUUCCUGGGCAAGCCAUGUGUUUAGGGGGGAUGGACUCACUAAUCAUCACUUGACCUUGUGACAGACCAAAGGUUGCCCUUUCCCCUCUUGGGGAAAAGGAAGAAGAAAAGAAAUGCAGCAGCUAGCCCGAUGAUGUAAAUGCACAGUCCAGCGGGGAGGAGCCUGCAGACCACUGCUUUCCAGAUGUGCGACAGGGCGGUGCACUAGGAGCACAAAGGAGACGAGGGUCUGCUGCAGACGCCGCAGGCUCGCGGACUUGCUCCUCUUCUACACCGUUUCCUCAGGUGCUGAGGACUCUCUAUGGCUGUCAAGUGACUCAGGACAAGCGAAAAGUGAAGGGUUUGUACAUCACUUACCAAAUUCUGUCUCUGAAAUAAAGAUACCUUUCCCACUGUAUGGCUGUAUUCGGCAAUGGCUGUGGCGUGAUUUGGCCACAUAUCGACGGCCCUCACACCCUCUGCCCUUCAUUAUCUUGUGCAGCGACCAAGUCGAGUCAGGGACCUGAAGGAGGCUCUGAGCACCACGACCCCUCUGUCCCCAUUCUGAGCCAUGGGUGAAGCAGGCCCUGCUUAGGCCACCUUCCUAGGGCGGCUUCUAUGAACUCACCCUUGACUCAUGCUUCUACUGGUGGAAGUCUUCCAAAAGAAAAACCCAUUUAGUUGUCAGAUUUACACUAUCAAGGAAUCUCUAAAAUGAAUGAGUUCUUUAAAAGAAAAGCCAAACUUGGGGUAAUUACAUUCAAAUUCCUUAAUCAUAUUUUCCGAGCUCAGUGGGAAUUGUGGUGUUUCUCUGUGGGAUGUCUUCUCCAAAGCCACACAAAUGCUCUGCAGAUUUUCCCUUCAAAGGGCCAUCUACCAGAAGGACUUCCUCUGGGCACAGCCAGAUUUUCAGGAGUGUGCUCCUAAGUCAUCCUUUUCAGACGGAAUCAUAAUUUCCCAUCCAAGUCUUCUCAGUUCUAGUCUCUUGAACAAUCAAGUAAAAAGAGAAAGGAAUGGAGAUGGUGGGUGAAAGAGAAAGGGAGGGAGGAAGGGAGGGAGGGAGGGAGGGAGGGAGGGAGAGAGAGAGGGAGGGAGGAAGGGACACCUAAACAAGUACUAAGCAUUAGUUUUAAAUCAUGGUGGACACGCCAGCUUAAAGAGUCCUUAUUUGAAACACUCAAGCUCAGAAGUACCUUACUUUCUGAAUGAAAUGUAUAUAUAGGCUUAACUGAUUAAAUAUUCCUAAUCAAAACACCCAAAUGCUCCAAUAGCUCACAUUUUUUGAGCAGUACACUGGUAGAUUUCAGAGUAGGGAGAAGCCUACUCUAACUGUGGUAACACCUGUCCACUUCCAUCUCUAGAACAUCACACAAUUGGGUCCACGUGAAGUUGCAGUCCCGUCUUCCACAGAAAUUUCUAUAUGCUACUCAUGGUAACGGUAUGAUAUGAUAUCAUGAGAAGAAAACAGGGUCAGUAUGAUUGACAAAAUAAUUACAAAUAGAAAAUGUAGCUGGUAGCCAUUCAUUGCAUACCACACCCGAAGCAGGAGCUAGGGACAGAGAUGAUCGCCGAGGCCACCCAACCAUGGUUGUCUGAGAGAAUUCAAUGCUAAAUCUUGGAUCAACCCAGGUCCUUGCACAGAGAUACAACCAGAAGCAGACAAUAUUUAACAAAAGCUUAGCCAGAAAGGUCACUAAAUGUAGCAAGUACUGAAUUUGUCAAAACAAUGUGGAUCAAAUAUCACCCAUGAAAAUGUCAAGGAACUUCUGCCUUCUGUGUGAUGGUUAGAUGGUUAGAUAGAUGUAGAAGAUGGCCCCAUUCUCUUAAGGUCUUCCAUGAUAGAAAAUUUGUGUGCCUGUGAUAGAGGAGGACAACACAGGGUGUUUCUUUGUCUGCUUGGGAAAACAGCCCAGAAAUCUUAGCACAUUAGAUGAUCUCGGUACCAUGUAGUAACACGCGUCUAAAUGUCUAAAACUGGUAAAAUGAAUUUGCACUGCUUCCCACAAAGGAAAAGCCCCUAGUCCUGAAAGAGUUAAGAGACCAAAAUUAGACACAGUUCAUGUUAAAGGUUAGAAGAAUAAUCAGUCACUUGAAAAACACUACAUAAACAUUUUUCCGGAUGCAAUUUUCAGUCCAAGGAUACAUUUCCCAGUAGAAAUCAACAGCUAAAAAGGAAAUCAUUUCGUCUCCGUAAGUGCCAAAUUGUAUCCUGAUUUUCCCUGGUCUGGCUCAACUUUCAAAACCAGUGGUUCAACUUCUGCAAUCUUUCACCCAAUGACUAUAUAAACACAUCUUACAAGACAGACAUAAUCCUUGGGUGGGCCAAUUUAUGUUGGAUUAUGAAAAUACUUAAAAUACAAAAUCGUAUAAUGACUGCUGUCCUUGAGUUUUUCACUAAAAAGAAAGGGGGGAAGCCAUUUAAUAUAAGGCAGUGGUUUACACAAAGAGGAUGGGGCACGAUCACUCUCCUUUUUUUUCCUCUCCCCGUCGGUACCUCAGAAGGGAAAUAACACUAAAGAACUGUGUUUUUAGCCCUGUGAUAAUCUGCAGUCUGUGAGUGCAGUUUUGAGGUACCCGCAUGCAAGGCAGUCACCUACACAACUGGAAUGAGUUAAGCUGCUCGCAACAGGCAAGAAAAAUUUCACCCUUGGAAGUAUGUUGGAUCUUCUGUAUUUGGUCAGAGGUUAUGGAAACAUUAGUUUUAAGGAUAAAGUAAUCUUAAGUAAAAACCAAAAGAUUCAUUCAGAAUUUAUUACUGCCCUCACUCCAUACAUUUCUCAGAAUAUACAGGAUUCUCCCUAACAACAGUCGGGCUGAAUCCCAACCUUUAUAACUAGGAGAAAUCAUACAUUUUAAACCUUCACACAAAGGUGAACUCUGUUUUUCCACUUCUUCCUUGAUAUUCUAGUGAUUUUACAGCCAGCUAGAGCAGGCAUCCUGAAAAAGUACCUCUCCAGCAUGAAGCAUGAGGCAGACAAGAAUUUUAACUUUUCCUCCAAUGGAUAAAGUUAUGUAAAAAGAAGACAUUUUGGAAGUCUUUGGAGAGCAUAGAAUAAAUCAUAGCUGUAAGACCUGGAAAGGUUUGGUUGAGCGUAAAGAGAUUUUCACAUCUGUGCCUGUCCAUCCCUGCCUCGGGAAUAAUGGAUCUCCCAGACCAGUCACAGAAAAAUGCUGCAAAGCGCCAUCCUUCACCAGCAAAACUUCAGAGCUGCAUUUGUGAACGCGGCAUUUCAGCAGACGUUACCGAGAGCUACAUCAAACAUCCAGGGAACUAGGGUAAAAAUGACUUUGCAAAAACCACAAAGGGCUGUAACAAAGCACAGUGGUCAAACAGCUGGGUGAAUAAACUUUUGGGGACACAGGGUGUCCCUAAAAUCUUCUGAUGUCUAUAUUAGCUUCAUCCUUGCUUAUGAGCAAACAGAAGCGUAACCGAGGCAGUAUGCACGCCGGAAAAGAACGCACAAGAGAGUUUUCUUUCCUGUGCAGAGCGGCUGCUGGGGGCUACUCAUCUCUUUCAACGAAAGACCUGAAUACAGGAGCGCCUUAGGGAUGGGUUUCCCCAUCAACUGACUAGUUCUGUGCAAAUGGGCAGAAAGGGUAUACUUGAGUAUUUUCAUUUAAAUGUAAAACAUUUGAGGCCAACCUGGGAAAAUAGGUUGAAGUAUCUUAGGGAGAAAAAGUACUGAAAAUAUAAAACUUUCAAGUUGUUUUCCAAAAUCAGAAGGUCUUCAACUCUGAAAAGAACAUACCUAUACAUAGGAAGACAUUCAAGGGUGAUUCUUUAAAUCUACGUUUUCAGUUCAAAUAUUUUGCAUUCCUUUCUCAUUUAAGACACUCCCAUGAAAGGCGCCAUUAUUUGUAAGUGAAGAAAGAAAAAGGAAUUUGUCUUCCUUUUCUCCACUCCAGGAUCUGCCAUUGUCACCUGGAUCUAUUUCCAGGAAGCCAAUAUUCAUUAGGGUUAAUCUGCCUACUAAAUGAAUAAACAAAGGAUUCUCUGUCACUCAGAGCCCAGGUGAGCUGAUAGCAUCUUCCAACACAGAAAAGCAUCUGUACCUUACUGUUGAGGAAAUUACCUGCUGCAACCCCACACCUGGGAUAAGUUGGCAGGCAGAUCAGUGAAGCUGAGCAACAUAUAGAAAAUGGACUAUAACCAUGUUCUUCAAAGGAUUAAAAAAUCACCCAUGUUUUAAAAAUGAAGAACAUUUUCAUAUAAGUUUUCAUGAAGGAAAACUAGACCGAAAGGAAAAAAAAUCAAGUAGAAUCAAGGUAAUUUCCCACUCCGUUUCAUUCCCAACCCAAAGUAAACCAGGGCCAAUGACCCAACAUUAACACACUGUGCAGUAUAAAGAACUGAGAGACAAAGGUGAAGGCCUCCGUGGAUAGUCAAGAACUUGAGAGUAACAUUCUAAACAGUAUGACAUCAAGAAACUAAGAAAGGUGUAAUCACGCCUUUUCUAGACCGAUAAAUUCAGACCAAGCAAAGUUACAUGACCUUGGUGGUUAAACAUAGCAGGACAAAAACCCAAGACCAACCUAUGUUGAAUUAUUAAAUUAGUAACAAUUAAUAUUAAUAAUUAAAUUAGCAAUGAACUAAUAUUAAUAAUAAAUAAUAACUGUUACAACUUAUGGCACAAAAUCCCAGGUCUGAGAAAUGAUUUUGUUCUCUAGAUAAUCCAAUAGGAAACCACUGGUGUUGAAUAAACAUGAAACAAUGUGAACGAAUGAGGCCAGAGAUAUGGGACUUGGUGACUUUGCUCCAGACUGAGUGUGGGAUGUGCGUGGGGCGAUACAGUCCCAGAUACAAGUUUUCAGCAAAACUGCGGAAACUACUUGUGCAGAUGUACGCACACACGUGACACGGCCACGUCCAUUCAUAAGCCUGCGAACAGUGACAGGAGAUGAUCCUCGGGACUCAGGUCUGAAGGAGGCCAGGGUGUGAAGCCGACUGAAAUAAGAGCAGCUCCAUAAACCUGGAUGUCGGUGACAAGCAACCAAAAUGCUGCCCUUGACACAAGGCCCCUUAAGUGGCUGACACAGGUGCUGUUUCUUUAUUUAGCUUCUAAACGUGGAAAGGAAGAAGCCAAACUACUGGGUAGGUUAUGCAUCGUUCUCUGGAGAGACUAGGAACCAAGGAACGAGACGACUGAGCAGAAGGGUAGUCGACAUUUAAAUGCUGCCUACUGUAUGUCGAGCCCCCUGUGAAAAGUCCUGGGUUUGCUCAAGAGUGAUAAAAACCAGAUUCGCUCUCCGUAUACCCUACGUCAUCAUUACUUGUGGAAGCGGGCGCUUUCCAGCCUCACCGGGUACCCUAACAGUUUUCAUGCCACACACGUGGGAUCGAUACCAGAUACGACAAACAUGCGGAGAGGUGUGUUCACCUGGGGACACCAUCGUCUGGGAAGCCGCACGUACUUACGGCACUUGAGGAGAUGUUGAGGAGAAAAGGCAGAAAGGACAGGAUCAGAACACGCCAUCUUUCACAGUCUUCACCUGUCUGGUCAGGUUUUCAAAGAUAAGUCAUUUAAAGAUAAAUGCAAACAGCUCGUGAUCUCCACUGGCCCGCGCCGGAGUAUUGAUGGAAGAUGCUGUACGUGAGUGUCAUACAUGUGUUCUGAAAUCUAUUUUCACUGAGAGUGGUUUGGGGAGUAUGUGGGAAAAUUCAGCAUGUCGGUUUAAGGAAAUGGGUAUGGUUUCCCUUUUAAGACCCUAAAAAACCAUAUGGGAGCAAGAUAAUGUUUGUCCUGACCUGCCAAGAUCCUGUGGCGCUCAUCCCGGUCCACACCGCAUUCCUGAGGAGAAAUGCUCACACUGGGGCCUGGCGGGGUGCAGAUGUGUGAAAAUGUGUGUACUCGGAGAACUCCCUCCGGGCCUCACAUCUUCGCAAGCUCAGCACAUGGCUCCCCCAGCCAACAGCAAAGGAGGCUUCCAAGUCCACUCUACUUUCCUUUAAGCUAGUGUCUGGACGCAGGAAUCGAGAGAAGGUUUUGUUACUUGGCUCAAAGCCAAGAGGAGCCUCCUGGCUCAACUUGCAAUUCUUAAGCCACAUCAGACUCUGCUAACUCUUUCCUUACUCACCGAGCCAUCUCAAGAACCAGAAUUUGUUCAUUCUUACUGAGUCACCGGCAGAAUCACAUACAUUUUCGGCUAUUUAAAUCAUGACCACAUUAAAUGUGUAUGUGUGUGUGUGUGGUGGGAGACACCUAGAACUUAGUAGUUAGGAGUACAGUUCCAGCACCCAUAUCAAUAAGCAGCCCCUGUAAGUCCAGCUCCAGGGGAUCUGGUGCCCUCUGCUGGACUCUGCAGACACAGCACUCAUGUGCAAAGGCCACCCCAUACAAAUAAAGAUAAAAUGUUUUAAUAAUAGCUAUGAGAAUUCACAUAAAAUAAUAUUUUGUAUACCAUGUAGGAAAAAAUCCCUAGAGACGUAUAAAGGAACAAACAAAAACUUAUCAGUAGCCAGAAGUUUUACUUCAUUGUUAAAAUCUGAUUGGCAGAGGGCUGGAGAGAUGGCUCAGUGGUUAAGAGCAUUGUCUGCUCUUCCAAAGGUUCUGAGUUCGAUUCCCAGCAACCACAUGGUGGCUCACAACCAUCUGUAAUGGGGUCUGGUGCCCUCUUCUGGCCUGCAGGCAUACACACAGAUGGAAUAUUGUAUACAUAAUAAAUAAUUUUUUUUUUUAAAAUCUGAUUGGCGCCUUGUUAUACCCUGCUCAGGGCAGCCUGGAACCUGUGAUCUUUCUGUUUCAACCUUCCAGGUGUGGGCAGUACUGGGAGUUCAGGUGGACAGUCCCAUCCAGCUCACACUAGCACAGGGUGAGCUGUGUGUAUGGGGUGUGUGUGUGCAGGCAUGUGUAUGCACGUGUGUGUGUGUGCACGUGCGUGCACUCCAAAACUGAGGAAACCAGGGACUGCUUUCAAUUCAAGGAAAAGGAAGAAACCGUCCACGAACAACAGCACGUUGGAAACAGACCUGAAAACUCAUGCAUACUUAUGUUCAAGUUCCCAUCCUGAGGAGAGUUCACAGAAAGCUACAGACUUGAGUCUUGUGAGCUUCUGGACUGUGACACACAAGGUUUUUUUUUUUUUUUUGUAAAUGAAGUUAUUUGACCUUAAA